UUGUUUUGGCAGCGUAUGUACUAAUAUUGGAAUGGUUCCAAGAAGGGUAGAGUGUCUCCAGUAUAAGGAUGACAUGGAAAUUCAUGGAGUAUCCCACAGUUUU
rnacentral:snRNA from 1 species